rnacentral:misc_RNA from 1 species
GGAAGGAUCAUUACAAAUCGUUAGGAGAAGGGGUUCUAGGCUCUGCCUAUCAACCUCUCUCUUCUUAGGUUCGAUGCAGCAAUGCAUCGUUACUUUGCGCUUGUUUUGUUUGUCAGAGUAAGUAUCACUAUUAAAGAGACAACUUUUAACAAUGGAUCUCUUGGCUCUUGCAACGAUGAAGAACGCAGUAAAGUGCGAUAUAUAGUGCGAUUUGCAUGAAUCUGUGAGUCAUCUAGUCUUUGAACGCAACUUGCGCCUUUUUAAGGCAUGUCUGUUUGAGUACCGUUAACCAAAUACAGCAAUGUAACUUGGUCGAAAUGCCCUCAGUGUUGUUUCGGCUGAAAAAGAGCCAGAUAAGGAGACGGCUAGGUCCUUUAGUAAGUCAGGACGCAAGUCUUUUACUAAGUGGCCUAGUAUUUCCUCUGUUGUUAUUGCGUUAGCUUUGACACAAUUCUACUCUUUUGGUCUCAAAUCAGGCAAGACUACCCGCUGAACUUAAGCAUAUCAGUAAGCGGAGGAAAAGAAACUAACAAGGAUUCCCUCAGUAACGGCGAGUGAAGCGGGAAGAGCUCAAAGUUAAAAUCUCGACAGUUUCUGUCGCGAAUUGUAAACUAAAGAGGGUGAUUAAGGAGGGCGCCUAGACAAAGUGCAUUGGAAUAUGUCACCAGAGAGGGUGAGAGUCCCGUAAAGUCUAGGCAAUCUCUACAAAGAACCUUUCUACGAGUCGAGUUGUUUGGGAAUGCAGCUCAAAGUGGGUGGUAAAUCUCAUCUAAGGCUAAAUAUUGGCAAGAGACCGAUAGCGAACAAGUACCGUGAGGGAAAGAUGAAAAGCACCUUGAAAAGGGAGUUAAAUAGUACGUGAAAUUGUUAAAAGGGAAACGAUCGAGAUCAGUGUUGAGGGGGGAUUUAAUGCUAGAUUCCGGUCUGGUAAGCGAUCCCUCCUCGAGUCAAUGUCAGUUGCUAAGGACAAAUACGCUGUCGAGGAAGGUGGGGAUAGCUUCGGCUUUCUCUUUAUAGACUUGACUAGCUUUGUCAGUGGCGACUGGAAGACUGGUAACGUAGGAGAGGAUUAGAGAUGACUGUUAGGGAAACAGCUUGCUGAUUCACUAGCCUAAUCCUUACGACUCUUCUCCCUAGCUAGUCGCUUUUGACGAAAUGGUCUUGAACGACCCGUCUUGAAACACGGACCAAGGAGUCUAACAAUGUUGCGAGCAUUCGAGUGGCAAACUCGCGAUGCGCAAUAAAAGUAAAGACUUGCGAGCUUAGGCGCAGCAAGGACCGGCCUAGAGAUAUUUCGACAGGACCGAGUAAGAGUAGUAUUGUUGGGACCCGAAAGGUGGUGAACUAUGCCUGACUAGGGCGAAGCCAGAGGAAACUCUGGUGGAGGCUCGUAGCCGUUCUGACGUGCAAAUCGAUGGUCAAAGUUGGGUAUAGGGGCGAAAGACUAAUCGAACCACCUAGUAGCUGGUUCCCUC